rnacentral:rRNA from 1 species
UUCGCAAUGCCCGAAAGGGUGACGAAGCGACGCCGCGUGCGGGAAGAAGGCCUUCGGGUUGUAAACCGCUGUCGGGAGUUAAGAAAUGUAAGGAUGUUAAUAGCAUCUUUGCUUGACUAAGGCUCCGGAGGAAGCCACGGCUAACUCUGUGCCAGCAGCCGCGGUAAUACAGAGGCGGCAAGCGUUGCUCGGAAUUAUUGGGCGUAAAGAGCACGUAGGCGGCUACGUAAGUCGGUUGUGAAAGCCUUCCGCUCAACGGGAGAACAGCAUCCGAUACUGCAUGGCUUGAGUGCGGGAGGGGAGAGUGGAACUUCUGGUGGAGCGGUGAAAUGCGUAGAUAUCAGAAGGAACGCCGGCGGCGAAAGCGGCUCUCUGGCCCAUAACUGACGCUGAGUGUGCGAAAGCUAGGGGAGCAAACGGGAUUAGAUACCCCGGUAGUCCUAGCCGUAAACGAUGGGCACUAAGUAGAGGGGUUUU